AGUCCGUCUCUCUCGGAUCCGAACGGUUCACUCUCCGCCUGGGAUGGAAAACCCUCGCUGCUUCGCCAACCGCUUCUCCGACUACCGCGGCUCUCUGCUCCCGGGUCAGGGCGCCGAGGUGGUGGUACCGGCCGUUGUCUCCACCGUCGACAGAAUCCUGAAGAAGGUUCCGCUGAACCUGAGCGACUACGACGGAGGCUUGUACGAUGGGCCGGCCGGGGUGGCUUACAUGCUGUACCACGUCAGCGAGUGCUCGCUCUUCUCCGAGCAGAGGGACGCGUACCUGAAGACGGCCAAGAGCAUCAUCGACGCGUCGGUGAAAUACGUGGACGCGGAACCGGACAAGAACAUGCGGGCCGCCUUCCUGCUGGGCGGGACUGGGAUCUACGCGGUGGCUGCGAUGAUCUACAAGGCGAUGGGCUUGGCGGACUUCGUCAGACCCCUGACCAAAUUUCGGAACCUGUGGGAGGUUUGCGCGCCCAUCAAUUUCUUGGAGUGCGGUUCCGAUGAGCUCUUCGUGGGUCGUGCUGGGUACCUGUGCGCCGCGCUGGUCCUCAAGCAGAAGCUGGGCAUAGAGAUUCUGAGCAAAGACCAGAUCAAAUCCAUUUGCCAGGCCAUCAUUGAAUCGGGAAAGCAGUACGCCAGAAGGAAGAGGAAACCCUUCCCGCUCAUGUACUCCUACUACGGCACGGAGUACCUGGGUGAGCAAGACGAGUUCUUUGAUGAUACGUCAGAGAGGUUUUGUGAUACAGAAGUGGUGUGUCAUCAUGUGUGUAGCUAACUGUCCUCUCCUUGACUGCAUCAGAUGAAGUUGGAGAUCCUCAGUACAGUUCAUCGUAAGCCCGGCUCUGCAUGGAUACUAAACCAUCAGGGUGGAACAUCACGGUUCCCUGCAGAGACAGGGGUUUUGGACCAACUAAAGGGGCCAUAGAAUGACUCAUACAUUUUUUGUCAUCAUAGGAUUGGAAUAGACCCAAGUUUAGUUUGAAAAUACACAUUGUUUCUGAAGCUGAUGCGUCAGGAUAUGGACGCGAACUCAUUCUGUGGGCCCUUUACGACUGAAGUUGAGUAGUUGCAUGUCAGUCUGAAGCAAACAGCAGGAGAUGAAGUGGACGCACACAAGGAGGCUGCAUGCGUCUCGUCUAUGGUUUCUUCCUUCAAGUAGUGAAACAAAACUGAGAUGUAAGCACUGAGUUUCCGGCAUGAAUCUAUAAAGGCCCCGCCCCAAACUGACUUCAGGCCAUUCUGCGAACGACCACUGACACCCCCUGCACUUUUCUAAUCAACAGAGGGCUGUGGUCUGGAGACGCCGCUACACGCUGCCGCUGGCGCAGGAGACCCCAGUGUGGUGGAUCUCCUGCUGGAGUUUGGAGCUGGUGAGUGUUGCAAGAACGCCGACGGGAAGACUCCUCUGGGUCUGACGCAACCGAACACCGCAGUGAGAGCGACGCUACAAUCCAGAGGCCCUGGCUCUCUCUUCCAGCUGUGCCGCCUCGGCAUCCGCAGAAGUCUGGGAAGGAGUCGCUUCCAAAAAGCCUCAAGUCUCUUUCUCCCUGACAGUAUCACUGACUUCAUCCUGUAUCGAUGAAACAUUUCUUUCGACAUGUUUUUGAAGAAGUUAUUUUUGUAUUGCUGUAAAUAUACUUUGUCAAGUUUUUGUACAUUUUUUAUGUGGAAAUAGUUUUUACAGUUUUGA